rnacentral:rRNA from 1 species
GAGGUUGGCUUCGGCCAGCCUAGUGGCGGACGGGUGAGUAAUGCGUGGGAAUCUGCCUCGUAGUGGGGGAUAACGUAGGGAAACUUACGCUAAUACCGCAUACGCUCUACGGAGGAAAGGGGGGGAUCUUCGGACCUCUCGCUAUGAGAUGAGCCCACGUCUGAUUAGCUAGUUGGUGGGGUAAAGGCCUACCAAGGCGACGAUCAGUAGCCGGCCUGAGAGGGUGGACGGCCACACUGGGACUGAGACACGGCCCAGACUCCUACGGGAGGCAGCAGUGGGGAAUAUUGGACAAUGGGCGAAAGCCUGAUCCAGCAAUGCCGCGUGUGUGAAGAAGGCCUGCGGGUUGUAAAGCACUUUAAGUGGGGAAGAACGGGAUUGCGCUAAUACCGUGAUCCUUUGACGUUACCCACAGAAUAAGCACCGGCUAACUCUGUGCCAGCAGCCGCGGUAAUACGGAGGGUGCGAGCGUUAAUCGGAAUUACUGGGCGUAAAGCGC